CUAUAGAUUCACUCUGUUUUAGGCCAGGAAGCAAGCAAAAUUUCUGUUCUAGUAGACAAGUAGGUGGGAGGUAAUUUCCAGCCUUUGAGUGAAAUUGCCCUCCUUGACCAACGCUCAUCAAAGCGCUUGCCUGUCUGUGUGAGAAAACCUGACCAUUGCAGGCGGUACUCGACAAUGAAUCAACCAAACAAAUAACUUGGCAUUUUAAAACUAUUUCAUACUUUGACAGCCAAACGUUUUUAUGACAUUUUGGCAAAUAGUAACAACUUUUGGAAUGGAGUAACCAAAGGCCUGCAGCUGAGAGAGAGAAUGAUAUAUCUUUUGUUUUACCUUUGUAAGGAUUUAGUUUUCAUUAGCUUUCUUUCUGAAGCAGAGAGACGCUCGCAAGUGACAGAGUGAUUUCUCUUUCCAGGAUUUCUGCAGGAGAAAGGAGACUAGCUUGAUUUCUCCAGGAUCUCUCUGACAGGAGAAAUAGAAGUUUCCGUUCGAGGUCAUUUGAAUCCACCCGAGGUCAACUGUAAUAGAGCAGCUAUCACUCUUUAGUGAGUUAUUAGCAUCAAAGGGAUGAACACUGCUCCUGUCCAACUGGAAGUCAGUCAGAAUGUAGUCACAGUUUUCAACAGAACAAAACUUUGGCUCUGAGAGGGAUUGCAAAAGGUGUGCUGAUGCUACAUUUCGGACUCGGCUAGGCAUUUUCUCUAGGAGAUGGAGAUGUGCCCAUUUUGGGCAGCUGUACAGACAGCACCACCACCUAUGUUUCAUCUGGGAAAGGUUGUUUCAAGUGCACUGAAGAAGAUGGAGUUAUGUCAGAUGAAGAAUUACUGAAUACUUGUGUGGUUCCUAACAGUCCAUCUGACCGAAGUGGAUUAGUACAACACCUCCGUUUGGAGACGUGCAGUUGCUCAGUAACCAGCAAUCUGGGACGAGACUCACUCUAAGCCGUCAUCAGUGGAGGACUUAAACAUGAACUGCUCUUGCAGAUCCUGAAGAGGACGUAAUUGGUCUUAGCCAACAAUUUAAGACAGUUAUGGAAUGAAGUUUUCAUACUGGUAAAGAGGACGUGGUAAAGAGGACAUGGUAAAGAGGUUCUAGUCCCCAAGAAGACUAUGUGCAAGGAUUUCUAAGGUUGUGGGGUAGUUAACUUCCUUUUGUUUCAGUUCAGAUUGAGCAACACAGGUCUUUCUUUAAAAAACAGAUGAUAACCUAACUGCUUUUUCCUAUUACAGUAAAGCAAAAUUGAGGUUAACCCAGACGCA
rnacentral:lncRNA from 1 species